rnacentral:rRNA from 1 species
CCUACGGGGAGCAGCAGUGGGGAAUAUUGGACAAUGGGCGAAAGCCUGAUCCAGCCAUGCCGCGUGUGUGAAGAAGGCCUUCGGGUUGUAAAGCACUUUCAGUGGGGAAGAAAGCCUUGGGGCUAAUACCCUCGAGGAAGGACAUCACCCACAGAAGAAGCACCGGCUAACUCCGUGCCAGCAGCCGCGGUAAUACGGAGGGUGCGGGCGUUAAUCGGAAUUACUGGGCGUAAAGCGCGCGUAGGCGGUCUGAUAAGCCGGUUGUGAAAGCCCCGGGCUCAACCUGGGAACGGCAUCCGGAACUGUCAGGCUAGAGUGCAGGAGAGGAAGGUAGAAUUCCCGGUGUAGCGGUGAAAUGCGUAGAGAUCGGGAGGAAUACCAGUGGCGAAGGCGGCCUUCUGGACUGACACUGACGCUGAGGUGCGAAAGCGUGGGUAGCAAACAGGAUUAGAUACCCCUGUAGUC